rnacentral:rRNA from 1 species
CCUACGGGAGGCAGCAGUGGGGAAUAUUGCACAAUGGUGGGAACCCUGAUGCAGCGACGCCGCGUGAGCGAUGAAGGUUUUCGGUAUGUAAAGCCCUAUCAGCAGGGGAGCAAAUGACGGUACGUGACCACGCAUCCCCGGCUAACUACGUGCCAGCAGCCGCGGCAAUACGGAGGAGGCAAGCGUUAUCCGGAUUUACUGGGUGUAAAGGGGGCGUAGGCGGCGAUGCAAGCCAGAAGUGAAAGCCCGGGGCUCAACCCCGGGACUGCAUUUGGAACUGUAUGGCUGGAGUGCAGGAGGGGCAGGCGGAAUUCCUAGUGUAGCGGUGAAAUGCGUAGAUAUUAGGAGGAACACCAGUGGCGAAGGCGGCCUGCUGGACGGUGACUGACGUUGAGGCACGAAAGCGUGGGGAGCAAACAGGAUUAGAUACCCCAGUAGUC